rnacentral:rRNA from 1 species
UCCAGACUCCUACGGGAGGCAGCAGUGAGGGAUAUUGGGCAAUGGGGGAAACCCUGACCCAGCGACGCCGCGUGAGGGAAGACGGUCUUCGGAUUGUAAACCUCUGUCUUUGGGGACGAAAAAGGACGGUACCCAAGGAGGAAGCUCCGGCUAACUACGUGCCAGCAGCCGCGGUAAUACGUAGGUGGCGAGCGUUGUCCGGAAUUACUGGGUGUAAAGGGAGUGUAGGCGGGAAGGCAAGUCUGAAGUGAAAUCCCAUGGCUUAACCAUGGAACUGCUUUGGAAACUGUGCAGCUGGAGUGCAGGAGGGGUAAGCGGAAUUCCUAGUGUAGCGGUGAAAUGCGUAGAUAUUAGGAGGAACACCAGUGGCGAAGGCGGCUUACUGGACUGUAACUGACGUUGAGGCUCGAAAGCGUGGGGAGCAAACAGGAUUAGAUACCCGCGUAG